UACAGAGGUCCCGAGCGUUGUUCGGAUUUAUUGGGCGUAAAGGGUGCGUAGGUGGCAAAGUAAGUUGGAUGUGAAAUCCUGGGGCUCAACCUCAGAAUUGCAUUCAAUACUGCUUAGCUAGAGAGCUGUAGAGGAGACUGGAAUUUACGGUGUAGCAGUGAAAUGCGUAGAUAUCGUCUGGAACGCCUGUGGUGAAGACGGGUGACUGGGCAGGUUCGUGACACUGAGGCACGAAAGCGUGGGGAGCGAACGGG
rnacentral:rRNA from 1 species